CGGGCGCGCACCGGCUGAGCCUGACUUUCUGUUUCCCUUUAAUUAGGGGCGCCCACUGACGGGCGGAAAGCUACUUCCCGGAACCCUAGAGGCCCGAGACCAGGUCCCAGACAUUGCCCUUUGGGCUCUCCUACUGCUCUCAACGCUCCUGCGUUACGUGCCCGCUGCCUGCUGUCACUGUUCGCGCGCCUCAUUUCGAGGCUGUUUGCUCCAGCGCUUAUUCAGACCGCCAGCGCGAGUCUGUAAGUGUGUACGGCAUAAUGGAGAACCAAGGGUGCCCAGGAGGCAGGAAGGUAUUCCUGCCCAGCCAGUUCACGUUGUGACAUGCAGAGGAGCAGAGAAAGCUGUUCAAAGCCCUGCCUGUAACUCUGUGUUGGAACCAGGUUUGCUCAGAUCAAGCCUAGCUGCUCUCGUCGGUGUUUCUGGAAAAUAGACACCUUCGGGCCCAGCCUGAGGUUUGGCUAGAGCAGUCCAACUGCUUCUGUCUGAUAAUCAAGCCACCUUGAAGUUAGAAGCAUAAAGGUGAGUGAGAGGUUUGGGGGUUCCUCAGAAAGUUAAACACAGAAUGGCCAUAUGAGCCAGCAAUUCUACUCCUAGACAUAUAUCAAAAAUAAUUGAAAACAGGUAUUCAGACCAAAAAUUGUACACCCAUGUUCAUGGCAGCACCAUUCAGAAUACCGAAAGAUGAAAACACCCCAUAUAUCCAUCAAUGAAUGAACAGAUAAACAAAAUGUAGGAUAUCCAUAAAAGUGGAAUUAUUCAGCCAUAAAAAGAAAUGAAAUACUGUCGGACGGAUGCUAUAAUAUGGGUGAACCCUGAAGACGUUAUGCUAAGUGGAAAAAGUGAGUCAAAAAAGGCCACAUAUUGUAAGGUUCCGUUUAUAGGAAAUGUCCAGAACAGACAAAUCCAUAGUAACAGCAGAUUACUAGCUGCCAGGAGCUAGAAGGAGGGAAGAGCGGGAAGUGACUGCUUAUGGGCACAGCGUUUCCUUGUGGGGUGAUGAAAAUGUUUAGGAACUAGACAUUGUAAUGGUUGCAGAACAUCGUGGAUGUACUAAAUGCCCUGAAUUAUACCCUUUAAAAGUGGUCAAAUGAUGAAUUUGAUGUCAUGUGAAUCUUACCACAAUAAAAAAAAAAUGAG
rnacentral:lncRNA from 1 species